UUGGUUUUUUUUUUUAAGGCAGAGAAAGUUUAAGUACAAAACCAAAUUUACUUUUUUCCAAUCUAAAGAACUUGGAAUCAGCUUUCUGCACAAAGGUCGUUAGCUGACAUGCUUUUGUUAUCCAAAACGUUAAGACUACGCCUCUUUCAAAUGCAUUACCUGACUACAAGUGAGCCCGUCCAGAAUUGAUCAGAUGUUCUUACGCAAUGGUGUGUGGAGCCCCUACUAAGUAUCAAUCAGUACAGAAGCUCCUGCAGGUCCCGAGAGGCUGUUUUUGAAGAGAUUGCGAAGUUAGACAGCAGUUCCUAUUUUCUGUAAGUAAACAUCUGCUGUAGAAGCAACUCCAAACCUACAAACACACCCACUUUUUCACAGUAAGCCUCAGCGCUGGACAGGAACAGUGAGGUAUCUGCGCUGGAUUGCAGUCAUUUUAAAAUACCUCUUUAAAUCUGUUCCUUCCUGCAUUUCAAUCUCUGCAUGUGAACCGGCGGCUUGGUUCACAAGCAACAGUUAUCGCCCACUGAAAAACACACCUUCCUUAAACAAAAGAUACUUUUUGUUCCCACGAAGCUUUUUCUGCUGCCAUACCCAGCAACAAAUGACACAAAAGACAAACUCCGCCAUCCUCAAGAGUGGUGUCAGGCGAACAGAAACAGCAAACAAAAUAACAGCAAAAGCUUCAGAAACAAAACCAAGCACCCGGAGAGUGCACAGCACGCAAAAUCGAGUUUUGUGACUAAGACUGAUUGAAUGAGAGUAACACAAGUUUGUUCGGGACACAGUGGGGCCACUCAACCAAAUCCGGAAAUUAUACAAACGAUAAAUAACAACUCCUUAAAAUGUUUUAAGUGCGUUUGGCACAAAAGUUUAUGGUUAUUCACAGGAAGCAUCUUAUCAAUUUAAUAUCACCACGUUGCAGGCUGUGCACCCGUCUCGUCAUAAUCUCUUUUAAGAAAACCGCUAAUGACCCGGAGUGCUGGAAGCCUGAAAACUGUUGUCAUCUAUCUCCCAGGACUGUGGGCCUGAUAGUGUCACGAGCAGAAACCAACUAGCGGCCAGAAGCCCAGGAGUCCCCGGCGAAUUGUUUCGAAGCACAGUCCCCACAAUCCGCGUGCUUGGGCGAAAGGACUGGAGGUGUGUGCGCGGUCCCUCCGCCCUCCGGGCCGCGCGUCCGCAGCGCCCCAGGCUGUCAGGACUCCUCUGCUGUCCAGCAGGUUCUGCUGUGUCCCCAAACAUGUACAACAGGAAGUGCUGUAACUUGGACUCUAGGGUUUCAAACUCGGAAAGUGUUAGCCCCAUCCUUCAUCCUGUGGGUAGAAAAACCAGAAGCUAAUCAGCACCAAGAGAAAGGAAUAAAGCAGACCUGUAGAAUGAACUAAAGGUGGACCUAGAACAAAAGGACAAGAUUCAUAUCUAGUCACAUCACCUUGGACAAUGCAUAUAGCACUCUAUUUGAUCACAUGGAAAGGCAUUAGGAAAACCUCGGAAAUUCCAUAUCACCUAGGCAUUUCUGGCCUCUGUAAAUGACAUAAGGUGAUUUGUGGAGAAUUUAGUGCUUUUUUUCCCCCAAUUUAGACAUGGGAAGAGUAACCAGAUAUACCUGAAAACAAAUUUUUCUUAAUUUUUUAUUUCAGAGAGAGAGAGAGAGAGACUGAGCAUGCAAACAAGGGAGAGGGACAGAGGGAGAGAGAGAGAACAAAUUUUGAGCAGGGCUCUAUCCCACGAUCCUGGGAUUAUGACCUGAGCCGAAAUAAAGAGUUGGACACCCAACUGACUGAGCCGCCAAAGUGCCCCUCCCUGGAAAAUUUUUUUAACAGUAGGUAUCGUAAGAAUUAUUUGUUAGCUGUGUAGAUACAGAAAAAAAUUAAAACUCUUGAAAUUUAAAUCCUAUAAUCUUCAUGAAUUCUUCAGAACAUGAAUAAUCUUAUCGUAUAUAGCUUCUUAAAUAAAAGUUAAAAUGUAAGAACAAGCAGAGAACAGAAUGGCCAUGUUAGAUGUAGAGGCUGGGUGGUUCACUGGGUGCACUUACUAGCUAAAUUCCUUUAUGCCAAACAGUACUUUUAGAUGGCAGGCAAUUCAUAUCAAUUCCACAGCAGCAUUAGGAGUUAGCAUGGACCAUAGUCCUAUUGAGUUGCUUUGAGAACAAUUACAGCUGUAACUAGGAAAUCCAAGAUGGAUGGCAAGAAUAUACAAUGUUACAGAAAAGUAGAUUACAAAUGCAAAUAUCUUUAGGGGCCAAAUAGGUAACAAAAUGGAUAGAAUAAAUCCAGAUGAAAGAAAAAAGUGUGGACCAGAGAUUAUACAGGCAUUCAAAUUCUUCCUUUCCUUUUUCUUCUUGCUUUUUUGUUGUGCUAUUUGUUUAUUAAAAACAAUGGAUGGACAGGGCACCUGGGUGGCUCAAUCUGUUAAGCAUCUGAUUUCUGGAUUUCAGCUCGGGUCAUGUAUCAUGGUUCAUGAGAUCGAGCCCACCUUGGACUCUAUGCUGACAGCAUGGAGCCUGCUUGGGAUUCUUUCUCUCCCUUCCUCUCUGUCCCUCCCCCACUUGCCCUUUCUCUCUCUCAAAAUAAAUAAAUAAACAUUAAAAAAAACACAAUCCCUAUCAAAAUACCAUCAGUAUUCUUUGCAGAGCUGGAACAAACAACGCUAAAAUUUGUAUGAAACCACAAAAGAGCCCAAAUAGUCAAAGCAGUCCUGAAAAAGAAAAACAAAACUGGGGGUAUCUCUGGAUUUUGAGCUAUAUUAUGAAGCUGUAGUGAUCAAGACAGUAUGGUACUGGCACAAAAACAGACACAUAGAUCAAUGGAAUAGAAUAGAAAACCGAGAAAUGGAUCCACAACUAUACGGUCAACUCAUCUUCAACAAAGCAGGAAGGAAUAUUCUGUGGAGAAAGACAGUUUCUUUAACAAAUGGUGUUAGGAAAACCGGACAACUACAUGCAGAAGAAUGAACCUGGAACACUUUCUUACACCGUACACAAAAAUAAAUUCAAAAUGGAUGAGAGACCUACAUAUAAGACAGGAGACUGUCAAAAUCCUAGAGGAGAACACAGGUAGUAACUUCUUUGACCUUGGCCAGAGCAACAUCUAAUUAGACACAUCACCAAAAGAAGGGAAACAAAAGCAUGAAUUACUGGGACUUUAUCAAGAUAAAAAGCUUCUGCACAGAGAAGGAAAAUAAUCAACAAAACUAAAAGGCAGCAUACGGAAUGAGAGAAGAUAUUUGCAAACAAUAUAUCUGAUAAAGGGUUAGUAUCCAAAAUCUAUACAGAACUUAUCAAACUCAACACCCAAAAAACAAUCCAGUGAAGAAAUGGGCAAAAGACAUGAAUAGACAUUUUUCCAAAGAAGACAUCCAGAUGGCUAAUAGACACAAGAGAAGAAACUCAACAUCACUCAUCACCAGGGAAAUAGCAAUCAAAACCACAAUGAGAUACCACCUCACACCUGUCAGAAUGAUGAAAAUUAACAACACAAGAAACAACAGAUGUUGGCAAGGAUAUGGAGAAAGGGGAAGCCUCUUGCACUGUUGGUGGAAAUACAAACCUGUGCAGCCACUCUGGAGAACAGUAUGGUGAUUCCUCAAGAAAACUGAUACUAGAACUACUCUAUAAUCCAGCAAUUUCACUAUUAGGUAUUUUCCCAAAGUGUGCAAAAAUACAGAUUCAAAGGGGUACAUGCACUCCAGUGUUUAUAGCAGUAUUUUCAACAAUAGCCAAACUAUGGAGAGAACGUAAAUGUCCAUCAAGUGAUGAAUGGAUAAAGAAAAUGUGAUACACACACACACACACACACACACACACACACACACACUGGAAUAUUACUCAGCCAUCAAAAAGAAUGAAAUCAGGCCAUCUGCAAUGACAUGGAUAGAGCCAGAAUGUAUUAUGCUAAGCAAAAUAAGUCAAUCAGAGAAAGAUAAAUACCAUAUGAUUUCAUUCAUAUGUGGAAUUUAAGAAGCAAAACAGAUGAGCAUAGAGGAAAAGGUGGGGGGGGGGCGGGAGAAGAGAGGGAAACACACCACAAGAGACUCUUAGUGAUAGAGUACAAACUGUGGGUUGAUGGAGGGAUGUGGGUGGAAGAUGGGUGAGAUGGGCUAGAUGAGUACUAAGGAGGCGUUUUUUGUGAUGAGCACUGGGUGUUGUAUGUAAGUGAUAAAUCACUGAAUUCUACUCCUGAGACCAAUAUUGUACUGUAUGUUAAUUAAUUGAAAUUUAAUAAAAAUUAAAAAAAAAACAAUGGAUAGGCAAGUCAAACACAUCUGUUGGCCAGUGUGUGCAAUUUUUAGUUACUUCCUUGUCUUCACAUCUGAAGGACUAAAUGCAUUUUAGGAGGCCAUAUUUUAAAAGGAAUACUUUUUUGUAAAAAAUGGAAUUUGUCCAGAGAAUAACAAUCAGGACGAUGAGGCAUAUGGAAAUCUUGAAGAGACGUUUAGUAUACAUGUUAGGUGUACUAACUUUGGAGUUUAAAGAAAGUGGGCUUAAGUUCUAGCUUUGGCAAUAAUAGUUUUUCCUUAGAAAAAUUACUAGACCUCUUGAAACCUUAGUUCCUUCACAUGAGCAAAGGGAAUAGUACUAUCUACCACGUAGGGUUAAAGUAAAAUUGAAAUGAGAUCAUGUAAAGUGUUUAACAUUUAAAUGGAGGCAGUUAACAUGUAUUGUAACAACAGUGAAAAUUUCACUAUUUCAGGGAAGGAAGACAUAGACUGUGUUGAGAUCAUCUACCUUCAAGUCAGGCUAAGUUUUUCACUGCUGGGAUUAGUAGAAUUGACUUUCACUCAGCAGAGAGGGUGAGGACAACAUAAGGAAGGGAAAGACAGGGGAAUGGCGGGAGGUUUCAGAAGCCCGUGCACCCUGCUGUGUGAUUCCUCAUGACAUUGUCGCUGCUAAACUGCCAUAAACAUAUUAGACACAAACUGCUGAAGACCAGUGACAUUUUGUGGAGGCUCAUAAAGAGACUAGGUUUUGAUCCAAGAAGCUUCUACAAACAAGGAGGACGAUGGAUAUAAGCUGAAGAGAAUUUGAGGAAUUGUGGAGAUGGAGUGUAAAUCUCAGGAGGUCAAGAAUCUGGAAUUUGAGUCAAGUGUGUGGAGAGGGUAUGGUCUAUGAAGACAGCUGUAUUCCAGUCACCGUGGGAAUCAUGGCAGAAACCAGAGAAAAAAGUGUUGUUGGGAGACCCAGUAUGUUCCAAUAGUGGAAGGGGCAUCAGGUUGGGGUGAUUUGACUUGAUUUGUACACUACCAAAGGGCAGAACUCGGGACAAUUGGCUAAAUGCCUAUGAGGCUCAUUUUAUCUCCAUAGAGGAAAUGUGCAACGCUGAACACAGAUGAAUCAGCAGCCUCAUCAAGUGGUGAACUUCCUAUUGUGGGAAGUAUUCAGGCAGAGGUCUACAAAUGUUGACACAUGUUGGAAUAGGUAUUCCUAUAUGAAACUGACUUGGAAAUUGAUGUCCCUCUCAAUUCUCUUUAAUAUUUUAAACGUAUGUAAAGCACUGUGGAGAGAAGGGCAGGGAUAAAACCAGAAUCUGCCUUGCCCUAAGUAGCUUCUUCAGUUAGAAAAAGACACUAGGCAGUCCACUAAUACUUUAGGACCUCUUCAGUCCUAAACCUCUACUCUUUUGGAGGGUAGAGGGAAGAAGAAAUGAGGAGAAAAAAUGGAAGAGAGGAAAAAGCAGAAAGUAAUUACUGUCAGACUGAAGCACAUCCAAAAGUUAGAGAAAUUUCAAAGUAUAAAGAAAUAAAUCACUUCUUGCUUUAUUCUAUAAUAAAUCCUGAAGUGUCUAAAGGGCCAUGUGGGAAGAUGUUGCUAGCUGCCUGCAUGAUCCCAUCAGAAAACAAAAUCAGGACUCCUAGGUGGCUCAGUCAGUUAAGCGUCCGACUGCAGCUCAGGUCAUGAUCUCAUGGUUUGUGAGUUCGAGCCCCACAUCGGGCUCUGUGCUGACAGCUCAGAGCCUGGAGUCUGCUUUGGAUUCUGUGUCUCCCUCUCCCCUGCUCAUGCUCUGUCUCUCUCUCAAAAAUAAAUAAAAGUAAAAAAGAAAAAAAUGAAAGAACCUAGGCCACAUGGUUAUAUUGCAGUAUCUGUUAGUUACCAGAUUUCCUCCCUAGCACUUUGAACGUUUUUCUGUGAUUUUUUUAAGUGGGAAAUUAGACAUCAGAAAUCAUUCUAUUACUUGAGAAUUGAUACUACCUAAAAUGGCUGUGUUCUUCCUUUCUCUCAUUAGUUGUUUAAGAUUGGAGUUUAAGAUCAUUCUCAUGUGUGGACCCAAGAAGAUAGGGUAGAAUUUUCAAGGUAACUUUCACUUGCAGUAGUUGUUUGUCAUUUAAUUUUGCCUUCAGAGGUGCAUCUAAAGCAAAUAUUCAUGUCCAAGUCUGAAAUAAUCAUUACCUGACAAUCCUUAACAUAUAUUAAAUUAAACUCUGCAUGCCUAUAUUUGGAAAGUACACAUAUUUUUAAAAGU